CUUGCCCUCCCUUCUUCCCGUGGACGUAGAUUUACUUCAGUAAAUCGAACCACGUAAAUUCUUUGUGUCGUAGUCUUUAUUCUCUACCAGCAUUUACUAACAUCAGAAAUUCGCGGACUCAUCACGAGCCAACUUUGCAGCCCCAAAAUAGCGGCACAACCCCCAAAAUUCAGGCACAAAAUGCCAAUUCUUUGAGCUAUAUAAGAGGCCGCAGCCUUCGCCCCUCCCCACUCUUCGAACACCAAGAUUCACAACAUCAUAGGGUGAAAGCAAUCAUAGGGAGAAAGCAGAAAGGAGUGAGGAGUGAGGAGAGGCGCCGGCAGCAAGAGAAACCGCAAGGAUUUUCAGCCGAGAGGAGAAAUUAUUCAAGGGCAGAUGAGGCCAAACGAGGAUUUUAAUUGGAGAUAAGCAUACUAGGUUGAACGUCAAGAUGGAGAAUAAUUGAUCGGAGUCGAUGCUAUCAAAUAAGCUUGUGGAUUUCUCAGCGAUUCGUGUCUUCAUACACGAAGUCAUUUAGUAGAGACCUCUUUCCGCUGCAUUUAUUUUUGUUAAGUGAAAAACUUAUAGUCUCACCUUCGAACUCUGAUCUGGUUGUUGUGGUGAAUGAUUCUAUUUGAGAACAUGUAGCCAAAUAUUCAGUUCCUUGUUUGCAGUAUUGAACUCUGAUCUGGUUGUUGUGGUGAAUGAUUCUAUUUGAGAACAUGUAGCCAAAUAUUCAGUUCCUUGUUUGCAGUAUUUAUUUGACUAGUAUUUCUUCCUCUUCCUUGAUUUUCAUCCCCCUUCUACCCUGCUUCUUUAAUCUCCCUAUUAGUCGCGAAUCACCCAUUAUUG